rnacentral:lncRNA from 1 species
GUAGGUGUCGAAGGAGAUUCGUUUCUUGAUUUUAUACGUGAGCUUUCUCUUCCCUAUUUCCAACCUUUAAAUUUUAAUAUUGCCUUGAAAACUGAAAUUUAAGUAAACAAAAAAAAUUCAAGUUAACCGAAAAUACUACUACUAGAUGAAGCAUAAAGAGAGAAACAUAGGGUUAAGAGUAAUUUGACCCAAAAAAAAAAGGGUUAAGAGUAAUUAAGAGAAGAAUCCAAAGCUCAAAUAUAAAUUUAUUCCAACCAUGGAAGCACGUUGUAUCCAUUACUAAGCUUUUGUUUAUUCUCUCUAAUCGCAUCGUCUCGUGUAGUGUUCCUUUUUGUCUCCUUAAACGCACAUCUCUAUAAGGAUUCUUACUGUAUUAGUUUUUACUUUUUACUCAUUACACAACAUUGAUUCAAAUCUUUGCUCAGCAAAAAAAUUAUCCUCACUAUUAAUAUAUAGUAGUGAGUAGAAUGAUUAGACUAUUUCUGUAGCUUUCUGCUAAUCAUGUGAAAUCUAUUUUGAAUGGUAAAACAAUGUUCAACCAAGCUUAAACGGGGAAAGAAAGCUCACGAGCCAUUGUUUAAUAGAAAAAGUUAGGAGUUUGAAAGUGUAUUGUUUUGUGUGAGACAUGAGCACGAAGAUGAGAUAUAGGAAGGGAUAUGUUUUGCUUUUUCAUAAAACCACAUAGUAAAGGAGACAAACAUGUUGUGAAAGCGACGAAUGAUGAAGAAAAUAAAACCAAUAGAAAGUAUCAACAAAGUUCUCUUUAUUUCUUUUGGUUUGAAAUUGAAAAUUAGAAC